CCUACGGGUGGCAGCAGUGAGGAAUAUUGGUCAAUGGCCGGAAGGCUGAACCAGCCAAGCCGCGUGAAGGACGAAGGUGCCAAGCAUUGUAAACUUCUUUUGUCAAGGGACAAAAUCAGGCUCGAGAGCCUGACCGAGGGUACUUGAAGAAAAAGCAUCGGCUAACUCCGUGCCAGCAGCCGCGGUAAUACGGAGGAUGCGAGCGUUAUCCGGAUUUAUUGGGUUUAAAGGGUGCGUAGGCGGACUGUUAAGUCAGCGGUAAAAGCCCGGGGCUCAACCCCGGCGAGCCGUUGAAACUGGCUGUCUUGAGAUGUCGAGAGGUAUGCGGAAUGCGCAGUGUAGCGGUGAAAUGCUUAGAUAUCACGAAGAACCCCGAUUGCGAAGGCAGCUUACUAAACUGUGACUGACAUUGAUGCUCGAAAGUGUGGGUAUCAAACAGGAUUAGAUACCCGUGUAGUC
rnacentral:rRNA from 1 species